rnacentral:lncRNA from 1 species
GAACCUGAACACGCAAUAAUCACGUGCUACCAGCCACUAAUGAAGGUAGUGGAUCGGCAUGAACACUGAGGUUCAGAGGCCUCUGGGGCAUCCUCGCCUGUGGACCCUUCACCAACCACCACUGUGAGUUGCAGGGGAUCCAGGGACUUCAGUGGAGAAGACAGCAGAAGGGUCCCAGUCAUGUCACCUGCCAGUUCCUCCGAGGAAAGACCGAGCAGCUUGACCUUCACAGCAGCUUCCCCCAAAGACACACAGGCAACCAAGGCAGGCUGCAGCUGAUGUGCAAACUGACAGGCUGGUGCUUGCCCUCAGAGAAUGUGAGCAGUGGCUGCGCGAGUUGGUCAGACCGAUCCAUCAUGGUACGGGAAGCAUCGUGGCCAUCCUGCACUAAAGGAACCACGCUGAGUCCAGGAGGCAUUCGGAGACCCAGCAGGACCAGCAAAUACUGACGGCAUACUGUAAUGAUCCUGUCCCUGGCAAUCGUCGGCCCCAGUCCUGCACUUGCCUCUGCGGGGAAGCAGCAACAGCAGGCCCAGAUCCAUGCUCUGUGACCCGAUCGUUCUCUGUCGAGCUCUGAAGGAAAGUCCAUCUUAGGGUCACGUUCUUUUAGUUAAAGUUGAUUGUUGAUUUUUUUUUCACAAUACAUGUAUUAUUCUGGCAAGUGAGCCAUUAUAGUAAUUGUUAUAGUAAUGGCACCAUUAUUGUCAUUGUGUUUUUUAACUAUUCAUGCACCAUUAUAGUAAUUCAUGGUAAUUCAUACUGAUCAUGAAUUGAUAUCUUAAAAGAGUUGUUCUGUAGUUUGUUUCCCUUUUUUAAAAAAAUUGUUGGUUGUAAAUAAAGGUUUCUACCUG